UUUGUUUUUGUGAUAUCUUGUGGUAGUGCAAAACAAGCAUAUUUACUUAAAUAAUAUUUAUAUUGAUCUCAAAUCAGAGUAUACUGAUUGUAAUACAACAUCACAGACAUAUUGCAAGAUAAAGCUCCAACAUUCACAUAUAUAUGUACAUACAACAUAAUAUACCUAUAAUCUAAGUCAUGAAUUUAAUUAUCUGGACUUUGUUCGAUAUCGAGUCUGAAUAUUUGAAUUGUAUGAAUAGUAUCCAUUCCGUACGUAUGUACUGUUAGAUUUCUAUUUCACCGAGGCUUCGGUUUUUUAUAAAAAAUAAACUAAUUUAAAACACCAAUUGUAUAUUUCAUAAACUUUUAAUCAAUCGAUUAAAAUAUAUUAAAGUGAGAUAAUUCGUUAAAAGUGGUAUCGCGUAAGAGAGCUGGAAGUGAACUGAGGAUCACGGUGGUCGUAUUGUUAGAAGGAAAUAGAGCUGUUUUGGCAUUUUUAUCUGGAAUGUAAUGUGACCGACGUGUGAGGUCUAAAUCAGCGAUAUGGGUAACAUCCCAGGGUUUAUAACAAGAAUAAGUUUCAUAUUCCUAUUUUUCUUGAUUAUAAAUGUCCAUGGUUACUCAAUAAGAACUAUUGGUAUGCCAGGAGAUAUAUUUACCAACUUAGUUCCAUUGGAAGAACCAACAUUUUUAAGUUGGGAAGACAUCGCUGGCAUGUAUGGUUAAAACUUAAAAAUAUAUUUUUUUUUGUACAAAA